AGGUCACCUCAAAGAGGGUUUGUGUGGCUGAAGAACCAGCAGCUCUUAACGCAGUGACCUGAUAGUGAGAAAUCCUCUGCAGGAUGCCUUGGACACUCGGUGUGUGCUGUGGUCUAUUGCUGAGGAGACAGG
rnacentral:snoRNA from 1 species